rnacentral:rRNA from 1 species
UACGUAGGGGGCAAGCGUUGUCCGGAAUCAUUGGGCGUAAAGAGCGCGUAGGCGGCCCGGUAAGUCCGCUGUGAAAGUCAAAGGCUCAACCUUUGAAUGUCAGCGGAUACUGCCGGGCUAGAGUCCGGAAGAGGCGAGUGGAACUCCUGGUGUAGCGGUGGAAUGCGCAGAUAUCAGGAAGAACACCAACGGCGAAGGCAGCUCGCUGGGACGGAACGGACGCUGAGGCGCGAAAGCGUGGGGAGCGAACAGG